rnacentral:lncRNA from 1 species
CAAGGACUCAAUUCACAUAUCUGAUCAUACCUGGAGUCCAGACUUUCUCCUGAUGCCUGACCCCUUUGCCAUUAGGUCGGCUCCGUAUGACUGAGUUCUAGCCAGUGAGGUAUGGGCAGAAGUGAUGUGUACCAAUUGCGAGCUCGACUUUUGAAAUCAUCCCACGUGAUCCUCCUGCCAUCUACCAGCCAUCCUUUUUGAUCUUGAAGGUCUUAUGCCUCAGAUUGUGUAACUACAGGAUGAAGGAAGGCCACUCAACCCACACUUGGACAUGAUGUCACAGUGUUUGGACACCGCAUGAACAUGCCAAUUUCCUGUGUUGUAAUAUUUUUAUGCACUUUAAGAAGACCACCAGAAACAGCAGAGUGAGUGAAUGACUGAGGCGCAUAUUGGACAAAAAUCACUUAUCCAAGACCACGUUACUACAACCCCAGGGCACAGAAGCUAAGUCUUCCUAUUGUACUGAACUCAGUUGACUGGAAUUUGUUCAGGAAAGCAUGAAGUCAAAUGGAAGCUAGUCCGUGACUGGAUUCAUCUUUUGGUAAAA